rnacentral:rRNA from 1 species
AUUGAACGCUGGCGGCAGGCCUAACACAUGCAAGUCGAGCGGAGCGGCGAACGGGUGAGUAACGCGUGAGUAACUGCCCCCCUCUCUGGGAUAACAGUUGGCAACGGCUGCUAAUACCGGAUAGUGGGGGAUGACUCGCGUCCUAUCAGCUUGUUGGUGGGGUAGUGGCCUACGAAGGCGACGACGGGUAGCCGGCCUGAGAGGGCGACCGGCCACAUUGGGCUGAGAUACGGCCCAAACUCCUACGGGAGGCAGCAGUGGGGAAGAUGACACAAUGGGGGAAACCCUGAGGGAGCAACGCCGCGUGCGGGAUGACGGACUUCGGGUUGGAAACCGCUUUCAGCCAUGACGCGGUAGGGGCAGAAGAAGCACCGGCUAACUACGUGCCAGCAGCCGCGGUAAUAC